GACGAACGCUGGCGGCGUGCUUAACACAUGCAAGUCGAACGGAAAGGCCCUGCUUUUGUGGGGUGCUCGAGUGGCGAACGGGUGAGUAACACGUGAGUAACCUGCCCUUGACUUUGGGAUAACUUCAGGAAACUGGGGCUAAUACCGGAUAGGAGCUCCUGCUGCAUGGUGGGGGUUGGAAAGUUUCGGCGGUUGGGGAUGGACGCGCGGCUUAUCAGCUUGUUGGUGGGGUAGUGGCUUACCAAGGCUUUGACGGGUAGCCGGCCUGAGAGGGUGACCGGCCACAUUGGGACUGAGAUACGGCCCAGACUCCUACGGGAGGCAGCAGUGGGGAAUAUUGCACAAUGGGCUGAAGCCUGAUGCAGCAACGCCGCGUGAGGGAUGACGGCCUUCGGGUUGUAAACCUCUUUCGCCUGUGACGCAGCGUGAGUGACGGUACUGGAUAAAGAAGCACCGGCUAACUACGUG
rnacentral:rRNA from 1 species